rnacentral:rRNA from 1 species
UACAGGGUGGGCAAGCGUUGCUCGGAAUUACUGGGCGUAAAGGGCUCGUAGGUGGCCAACUAAGUCAGACGUGAAAUCCCUCAGCUUAACUGGGGAACUGCGUCUGAUACUGGAUGGCUUGAGUUUGGGAGAGGGAUGCGGAAUUCCAGGUGUAGCGGUGAAAUGCGUAGAUAUCUGGAGGAACACCGGUGGCGAAGGCGGCAUCCUGGACCAACACUGACACUGAGGAGCGAAAGCCAGGGAGCAAACGGG